rnacentral:rRNA from 1 species
AUUGAACGCUGGCGGAAUGCUUUACACAUGCAAGUCGGACGGGAUUUGGGAGCUUGCUCCUAAUGAGAGUGGCGCACGGGUGCGUAACACGUAUGUAACCUACCUUAGUCAGGGGGAUAGCCUCUCGAAAGAGAGAUUAAGACCGCAUAACAUUAUUGAGUGGCAUCAUUUAAUAAUCAAAUAUUUAUAGGACUAAGAUGGGCAUGCGGAACAUUAGCUAGUUGGUAGGGUAACGGCCUACCAAGGCUACGAUGGUUAGGGGAUCUGAGAGGAUGGCCCCCCACACUGGUACUGAGACACGGACCAGACUCCUACGGGAGGCAGCAGUAAGGAAUAUUGGUCAAUGGGCGGAAGCCUGAACCAGCCAUGCCGCGUGCAGGAAGACGGCCCUACGGGUUGUAAACUGCUUUUAUACGGGAAUAAACCUACUUACGUGUAAGUAGCUGAAUGUACUGUAAGAAUAAGGAUCGGCUAACUCCGUGCCAGCCGCCGCCGUAA